ACAUGACAUCUCUUUGGCUUGUCUGUCUUCUGAAUGGAAAAUAUGUUUCUGGGGCCAGGCAGUGAUGCACUUGGUUGAGCAUUCACAUCACAGUGCACAAGGAUCCAGGUUCAAGUCCCAGAGGCUUGACAUAAGAGGUGAAGCAGGACUGCUGGUAUGUCUCUGCCUCUCUAUCUCUCCCUCCCUUCUCAAUUUCUCUCGUCUCUAUCCAAUAAUAAAUAAAUUAAAAUAUU